GACGAACGCUGGCGGCGUGCCUAAUACAUGCAAGUCGAGCGAAGUUUUUCUGGUGCUUGCACUAGAAAAACUUAGCGGCGAACGGGUGAGUAACACGUAAAGAACCUGCCUCAUAGACUGGGACAACUAUUGGAAACGAUAGCUAAUACCGGAUAACAGUAUUUCUCGCACGAGAGAUAUUUAAAAGUUGUUUAUGCUAACACUAUGAGAUGGCUUUGCGGUGCAUUAGCUAGUUGGUGGGGUAAAGGCCCACCAAGGCGACGAUGCAUAGCCGACCUGAGAGGGUGAUCGGCCACACUGGAACUGAGACACGGCCCAGACUCCUACGGGAGGCAGCAGUAGGGAAUCUUCCGCAAUGGGCGAAAGCCUGACGGGGCAACGCCGCGUGAGUGAAGAAGGAUUUCGGUUCGUAAAGCUCUGUUGUUAGGGAAGAAUGGAUAUGUAGUAACUAUACAUGUAAGAGACGGCACCUAACCAGAAAGCCACGGCUAACUACGUG
rnacentral:rRNA from 1 species